rnacentral:rRNA from 1 species
UACAGAGGUCUCAAGCGUUGUUCGGAUUCAUUGGGCGUAAAGGGUGCGUAGGUGGCGCCGUAAGUCAGGUGUGAAAUCCCGGGGCUCAACCCCGGAACUGCACUUGAUACUGCGGUGCUCGAGUACUGGAGAGGAGAUUGGAAUUUACGGUGUAGCAGUGAAAUGCGUAGAUAUCUGGAGGAAUACCGGUGGCGAAGGCGGCAUCCUGGACCGGCAUUGACGCUGAUGAGCGAAGGCUAGGGGAGCAAACGGG